GAGCGGCUUUCCGCAUGCGCGAUUCAUUUGCAGUCUGGACACGGAGGGCUGAACAUCUGCUCUGACUGCAGCGCGAGGACUGGGCCGCAUGGGAUGAAAUGUUCUCUGACAUUUACAAGAUCAAAGAAUCACCAAAUGGGAUGUUAUUGGAAGUUGAGGGAAAGGUGCGUCUCCACUGCAGACAAGUCCUAUCAGAUGGUCCUGAAAUAGAAUAAGGUGUUUGACUAAGCUGGAGGAGAACAACCCAGACAGAGUGAAGCCCUUCAUGGCUGGAGCUCAGGAGGAGAUCAAGAAGAUCAUGGGCAACAUGAAGAACUACCAGGUGUAUGAACCCAGAUGGUAUGGUUGGUCUGCUGGACUUCCGUGAGGACGGCCAACCGAAUUGUUUCUAGUCCAGCUUUGUGGAGUGUACGGCUUAAAGUGGUCCUACGGACAGAUACUCCAAUCUCCGCUGUGGACCUUUGCAGCUCCUUCAGGGUUGUCUUUGGUCUCUUUUUUUGCCUCUCUGAUUAAUGCCCCCUUUGCCUGGUCUGUGAGUUUUGGUGGGCGGCCCUCUCUUGGCAGGUUUGUUGUGGUGCCAUAUUCUUUCCAUUUUUAAAUAAUGGAUUUAAUGGUGCUCUGUGGGAUGUUCAAAGUUUUGGAUAUUUUUUUAUAACCCAACCCUGAUCUGUACUUCUCCACAACUUUGUCCCUGACCUGUUUGGAGAGCUCCAUGGUGCCGCUUGCUUGGUGGUGCUGCAGACUCUGGGGCCUUUCAGAACAGGUGUAUAUAUACUUAGAUCAUGUUACACUUAGAUUGCACACAGGUGGACUUUAUUUAACUAAUUAUGUGACUUCUGAAGGUAAUUGGUUGCGCCAGAUCUUAUUUAGGGGCUUUGUGGCAAAGCGGGUGAAUACAUAUGUGUAACAGUAUAACUUUAGACCGUCCCCUCGCCCAUACCCGGGCGCGAAGCAGGAACUCUCUGCACACAUCAACAACAGUCACCCACGAAGCAUCGUUAACCAUCGCUCCACAAAAGCCGCGGCCCUUGCAGAGCAAGGGGAACUACUACUUCAAGGUCUCAGAGCAAGUGAUGUCACCGAUUGAAACGCUAUUUAGUGCGCACCACCGCUAACUAGCUAGCUAUUUCACAUCCGUUACAUAUGCAUGCACCACUUUUCCUGUAGUUCUUUAACAAGUUAUUGUUUUUCACUUCACCAAUUUGGACUAUUUUGUGUAUGUCCAUUACAUGAAAUCCAAAUAAAAUUAAUUUAAUUUACAGGUUGUAAUGCAACAAAAUAGGAAAAAUACCAAGGGGGGUGAAUACUUUUGCAAGGCACUGUAUGAUGCCCAAACCAUGUCAUGUAUAUGGGGUUGACUGAAGGGGUGCUGUGACAGUAUUUUGGUAUUGAUCCUGUAAAUAUAUAUAUAUAUACACUACCUUUUUAUUUUUAUUGGUCAGACUGAGAUGUGGCUCUUUCUUUGCAACUGCGUAGAAGGCCAGCAUCCUGGAGUCACCUCUUCACUGUUGAUAUUCCGUUAAAAAUCAUCAGUUUCCAGCUACAAUAGUCAUUUACAACAUUAAAUGUCAACACUGUAUUUCUGAUCAAUUCAAUGUUAUUUUAAAUGGACAAAUUGCUUUUCUUUCAAAAACAGCAAUCACUGUUUCUAAGUGACCCCAAACGUUUGUACGGUAGUGUAUAUAGUAGAGCAGAUAUGCCUCUGUCAUGCAGAAUAAGGAAUUGUGUCAGGUCUAAUAUGUUACAUUUCUACCUGGGACAUUCAAUAUGUCACAGUUUGCUGGGAUGCUUUGUUAAUCUCUGCAAAGACAAUGCUUCAGUCCAGUGAUUAAUUAAUGAAUUGGUUAUUUAUUGUUGAUUGAUUAAAUCUCAGACCUCCAGUAAGAACCUAUGCUGGAGAUGAGAAACAGGUACCUGGAGUUGAACAUUUCAUGAAUGGCCAAUGACCAGGACAGGACCAGCGUCAGAACAGGGGGAACAAAACGACAUGACAAUAAAUGCUGAAGUGGGGAACAGCUGGUGACGGACAGAUAUAGGGGACGUAAUGAGAGCAGGUGAUUGAGUCCAGGUGAGUCCAAUGAAUCGCUGAUGCACGUGAGGAGGGAAACAGGUGUGCUUAAUGAUGGUGGCAGGAGUGUGUAGUGCUGGGCAGCGAAGGAGAGCGGGAGCAGGUGUGACUCCUCCAUUUGCUUGGUUUACAGUUACAUUAGAUGUGACACCCUUACUAAAAGUAGUGGGAUAGCUUAGGACUUCCUGAUUUGAGUUGUGAAAAAUAAAACUAACACUGGGUAAAACAUU